AUUGAACGCUGGCGGCAUGCCUUACACAUGCAAGUCGAACGGCAGCACGGGAGCAAUCCUGGUGGCGAGUGGCGAACGGGUGAGUAAUAUAUCGGAACGUGCCCAGUAGUGGGGGAUAACUGCUCGAAGGAGCAGCUAAUACCGCAUACGACCUGAGGGUGAAAGGGGGGAACGCAAGGACUCUUCGCAAUGGAGCGGCCGGUAUCAGAUUUGCUAGUUGGUUGGGUAAAGGCCUACCAAGGCAACGAACUGUAGUUGGUCUGAGAGGACGACCAGCCACACUGGGACUGAGACACGGCCCAGACUCCUACGGGAGGCAGCAGUGGGGAAUUUUGGACAAUGGGCGCAAGCCUGAUCCAGCAAUGCCGCGUGCAGGAAGAAGGCCUUCGGGUUGUAAACUGCUUUUGUCAGGGAAGAAAUCCUCUAGGUUAAUACCCUUGGGGGGAUGACGGUACCUGAAGAAUAAGCACCGGCUAACUACGUGCCAGCCGCCGCGGUAACAC
rnacentral:rRNA from 1 species